GAUGAACGCUGGCGGCGUGCCUAAUACAUGCCAGUCGAGCGAACAGACGAGGAGCUUGCUCCUCUGACGUUAGCGGCGGACGGGUGAGUAACACGUGGAUAACCUACCUAUAAGACUGGGAUAACUUCGGGAAACCGGAGCUAAUACCGGAUAAUAUAUUGAACCGCAUGGUUCAAUAGUGAAAGACGGUUUUGCUGUAACUUAUAGAUGGAUCCGCGCCGCAUUAGCUAGUUGGUAAGGUAACGGCUUAUCAAGGCAACGAUGCGUAGCCGACCUGAGAGAGUGAUCGGCCACACUGGAACUUAGACACGGUCCAGACUCCUACGGGAGGCAACAGUAGGGAAUCUUCCGCAAUGGGCGAAAGCUUGACGGAACAACGCCGCAUGAGUGAUGAAGGUCUUCGGAUCGUAAAACUCUGUUAUUAGGGAAGAACAAAUGUGUAAGUAACUAUGCACGUCUUGACGGUACCUAAUCAGAAAGCCACGGCUAACUACGUG
rnacentral:rRNA from 1 species